GCUGCGCUGGUGAACUUCCGGAAGAAGCAGGUGGAGCUGAGGUGUGUGCACUGAGGAUGCAACCAAAAGGGAAGGGGGAACAUGCUUGGAAAGAAAGUCUAGGAGCUAUGAGGAGGUGUUGCCCUUUUCAGGGCAAGUGAAGGUUGCCAAAAGAGGAGGAGUUGUGAAGGUCAAGAGAGCCAUUCCCAAGAAUGUCAAGGAUGACUGGAUGAGAUCCAUCACUCUCGUCAAUCAUCACCAAGGGGAUCUGGUUCCAGAGCUGCAAGUUGAGCUUCUCACUAACAUUUGCUGCAGAGGUAACAGAUGCAUUCUCCUGGAGAGGUUGCAGGAUCCUUUCAAGGGCUGCCUCAAUGAGGUCAUCCAAAUCCUUCAGGAAGGGCUUCACCUUGGAAUACCUAAGACAUACCCCAAAGAAAAUUCAUGCCAGGUUUGGUCAUCAAAGAUGGAAAAUGCAAAGAGGAUCUUACGCACCAGCCCACACAUCCCCAAAUAAUAACUGUCACUAGGCCAGGCAGGAAGCCGAACCAAGGGACACGUCAAAAUCCUAAGAUGCCUGCCUCCUUCCCCCUUAACAGAGAGAGGCUCACUAUUUCUGAGCUUCUCUAGCAUCUGCCAGCUAAGCUGUCAGUAUCUCCAGCACAAUACUUUCUCUCCUGAGUUAAGGUCAACCGAGAGCCUGGUUCUUGCCAGAGGUGCCAACUGGUCCUAGAAUCCGUGGCCUCUGGGCCAAAUUAAGCUUCAAUAGGGCCUUCCAGAAGGAAAUGUGGAGAAAACUUUGUGAGAUUUCGAGCCCUCUGUCAAAGUAACUGGCUUGGCCUUAUAGCUCAUGGGCAGCCUAGGUGAAAUCCCAUCAGCUAAGGACCUCAGAUGGUAACAGCAGUACCAGCUGCAGCUGAUGGUCCUUGAAUCCUGGAAUUGUCCAGAGUACAGAGGCCCUCUGUAUUCUGAUACUAGUCUGGAUUCCUGCAGAGGGAACUCACCGGAAAGGACUUGCAUUGCAGAUGGUAACAGCGGGGAACGUCAUGGUCUUGAAGCCUAUGGCCAGAGAGGCUGUGACGUUAUAGGACAGGUAGGUGUUGAUGAGGAUUCCCCACUGCCAAAACACCAGCGAAGCAAAGAGCAGAGUCAGGAAGAACCAGAUCAGCUUCUUCUUUGGACCCUCACAAAUGAUGCGCUUGGGCCCGUGGGUGUUAGUGUUGUCGCAGUACCAGACCAGCAGCUCCUGAUAGGUGUAUCCAGGGCCCUUCUGGAGGCGGUGCAGAGCCUUCACGAAGUACUUCUUCAGAGUCAUUUGAGAAGCUUUUGCAGAACAACAGAAAAGGUGUGUGAGAGAAAUGGAAUAAGAACCUGGAUUUUUUUUUAAA